rnacentral:rRNA from 1 species
CACCCCUUGCCUUUCCCGCCUAUAUACCGCCGUCGUCAGCUUACCCUGUGAAGGUUCAAUAGUAAGCAAAAUGAGCUAACCCCAAAACGUCAGGUCGAGGUGUAGCGUACGAGGUGGAAAGAAAUGGGCUACAUUUUCUACCACAGAAUAUUACGAAUAAUGCCCUGAAAACGGCAUCUGAAGGAGGAUUUAGCAGUAAAAAGUAAAUAGAGUGUACUUUUGAAUUAGGCUCUGAGGCGCGCACACACCGCCCGUCACUCUCCCCACCACUAACAACAGCCAUUUCUAAUACUUUAUAUAUGGAUACGGGGAGGCAAGUCGUAACAUGGUAAGUGUACCGGAAGGUGUACUUGGAACAAUC